rnacentral:lncRNA from 1 species
CACAGCGCCCCCCGGUGAGCGUCGUGGCGGCCUCCGCGCCUUGCGGGUUUGCGGCCCGACCCUCUGCACCGGGGGUGAGCCUGGAUGGGACGAGGCUUGAGGGAAGGAAGGGCGACCGUCGCGGCCCCCACGGAAGGCAGUCUUUCUACCUUUUUUCUUCCAGACUUAUUGACAUAAAAUGAGAAAUACAACGUUUGACAACUCGAAGCCAGCCUGGGGGCACAUUCCGGCAAAGAGUGGAAAUAAAUAACCCGCACCUCUGCCUACUUUCCUUACUCAAGUCUUUGAUGAUAUCAUCUUUUCAGAAGAGGCAGGUGCGGCACCUCUGGAACCUACAUUAACUCUCCCAGCAGUACUUCAACUUAAAGGAAUGAGGAAGAUGGGGAUUUCAGACAUUUUGGCUCAAUGAGGACUGCUUCCUCCCCCAUCUACUGAAGUUAGGUGUGGUCAUAUGAUUUUCCAUGUCAAUAAAAUGUAUUACUACUGGACUUGGGACACAGUAUGAAGGCAAAGACUCAUGGCUAGGCUGCUGUGUUGUCUAAGGUGCUUUUGGCUCUAAGUGUCAGAAAACCCAAUUCAAACUGGCUUAAACAAUGAGAAAAUGUAUUAUUUCAUGGAACAGAAGCCCAGAGGAAGGACAGCUACAAAAUUGGUUGAAUCAGUGAUUUAUUGAUGUCAUAAGGAACCCAGGUUCUUUUUUGCCUUUUGAUUUUGUUGUCCACAGCAUUGACUUCACCUAAGGCUGGUUGCCCUAUGGUCAAUAAUAGCAAACUGAAGCAAGGGGCACAUAUGUUCUUCUUUGUUGCUACCCAGCCAGAAAGAGAAAUGCUCCUAUCCUCUUCCAUUCUUUCUGAGCCAAAUUAGGUCACAUGUUCAUGCCUGGAGGGUGGAGGGGAAGGUAACCAGGGCAAUGUCACAUGUUGCUUGUCUUAGAAAAAAACAAGAUUCCUAGAGUUGGAGACGGGGUAAAUUUCUCCUGAGUCAAUCCUACGGCUAACUAAGGAAUUUAAUAACUGAAUAAAGUCAGCCUUUGGUUAGCAAGGAGGAUGAAGUUUGAUGAGAAAACAACCGACAGUGUCUACUAUACAGCACGUAUUCAGCUGAAGCACAAUCACAUCU